AAAAAAUUUUUUCUUCGUUUGAUUUUGGGUUUAAGUGAUCUCCCCAGGUUUUUGUUUGCUCUAACGCUAAACACUUCACUUCUAUCAGACAACGAACAAGGCACAGGAAGGAAGACCAUCGCGAAGAAAAGCGAAGAAGAUGAAGGCCACCACGAGACCACCGCAAAAACGAAGAAGACGAAGACCAACAAACACCCUCACACCUCUCCCUUCCAUCAUCCACAUUGAGAGUUUCGCCUUUAAUUAAGGUAAAAUCUCAACUGGGUUACGAGCUUCCGGAACAGGUUCAUCUGCGACUGUGAACUGAAGUCACUGUUUUAAAGGUCUAAUAUCCGAAUGAAGUUGCAUGAGAGUUUACAAAGUUUAGGUAUCAAAUGCUUUGUUGAUAAAUUUGUCAAUUACUUUAAUGUAUUUGUCAACGUCGUUUGAUUUGUUUAAGCAAUUCUGUCAGUGUCAAUGAUUUUGCUUUUAGACUAGUGUUGAAUAGUUGACAAUUGUAAUAGUGUGGACUAGUCGAUUAGAUUGUGGAAUUUCUUGUGGUGGGGUUGCUUUCAUUCUCUAUG